GGUGCUGUGGCUUAGCAGGUAAAGCUGCCUCUAGUGGCACUGGCAUCCCAUGUGGGCUCUGGUUCGAGUCCUGGCUGCUCCA
rnacentral:tRNA from 1 species